GAUGAACGCUGGCGGCGUGCUUAACACAUGCAAGUCGAACGGAAAGGCCGAAGCUUGCUUCGGUACUCGAGUGGCGAACGGGUGAGUAACACGUGGGUGAUCUGCCCUGUACUUCGGGAUAAGCUUGGGAAACGGGGUCUAAUACCGGAUAUGACAAUCUCUUGGAUGGGGUUGUGGAAAGCUUUUGCGGUAUGGGAUGAGCUCGCGGCCUAUCAGCUUGUUGGUGGGGUAAUGGCCUACCAAGGCGUCGACGGGUAGCCGGCCUGAGAGGGUGUACGGCCACAUUGGGACUGAGAUACGGCCCAGACUCCUACGGGAGGCAGCAGUGGGGAAUAUUGCACAAUGGGCGCAAGCCUGAUGCAGCGACGCCGCGUGGGGGAUGACGGCCUUCGGGUUGUAAACUCCUUUCGCAACCGACGAAGCUUUUGUGACGGUAGGUUGAGAAGAAGCACCGGCUAACUACGUG
rnacentral:rRNA from 1 species